rnacentral:lncRNA from 1 species
UACCAAGAGGAGAAUAGGCUGAGACUUAAGGUUACACCAGCAAGAGUUCCCAGAUGGAAAGAAAGGACUGCCUUUUUCAAUGAGGCAGAGGAAAUUUAACUUCAUCUUUUGUUUUUCAUUGCAACCAAGAAAGAACAGAAGAUCAAAGGAAAUUAGUAAAGAUACUGUGACUAGGAGAACAGAGAAUGGGGCUCAAGGGAAGAAAUCUUUGAUUUACAUAUUUUUCCAGUGA